rnacentral:rRNA from 1 species
ACGAACGCUGGCGGCGUGGGAUUAGGCAUGCAAGUCGAACGGUAUCAUCCUUUCGGGGAUGAGAGAGUGGCGAACGGGUGAGUAACACGUAGGUGAUCUACCCUCAAGACGGGGACAACCCAGGGAAACUUGGGCUAAUACCGGAUGUGAGCUAUCGUGAGAUAGUUUGAAAGGUGGCUUCGGCUGCCGCUUGAGGAUGAGCCUGCGUCCUAUUAGCUAGUUGGUGAGGUAACGGCUCACCGAGGCAGUGAUAGGUAGGCGGCCUUAACGGGUGGUCGCCCACACUGGGAUUGAGAUACGGCCCAGACUCCUACGGGAGGCAGCAGUCGAGAAUAGUCUACAAUGGUCGAAAGACUGAUAGUGCGACGCCGCGUGAACGAAGAAGCCCUUCGGGGUGUAAAGUUCUUUUAUAUGUGAGCAGUGACAUCUAUAUUAAUAGUAUGGGUGUAGAGAUAUUAGCAUAUGAAUAAGCAACGGCUAACUCCGUG